GGCUUCAUACAUUGUAGCUCAGUUGGUAGAGAAUCGCACUAGCAACGUAGAGGUCAUGGGUUCAAAUCCCAUUGAAGCCA